UAGAGUCCUCGGGGCAGGGUGAAAGUCCCGACCGGCGGUGAAAGCCCGCGAGCCCGUUAAGGGUUGAUCCGGUGAAAUUCCGGAGCCGACGGUUAAAGUCCGGAUGGGAGAGGACAAUG
rnacentral:ncRNA from 18 species